rnacentral:misc_RNA from 1 species
AAAGAAAAGAGAAGUAAAAUAACACUUCCAUGUGAUUGCAGCAGACAGUUACAGUUGCAUAACUAUAAAUAACGGCCGGUACCAUUAUGUAAUGGUCAUAAUGGCUGUUACACCUGCAACUUCAUAUUUGCCUGUAAAUAAUGUUAUAUAGCGUGAUGGGCCCUUCCAAAACUUAUAAAUAAUGGUCGUUAUGUUACGUAACGGCUGUUAUUUGAAACCACGCUUUAGAGCCUCUCGCCUGUGUUGCUGGGGUGCUCGCCUCCUCGAAGCUAAGGCAGGCGGAGGCGCUAGAGGGCCUCGGCUCGCCUGGUGCCUUGGCUCGCCAUCUCUCUUGCCUUUAACAACACUGCCUCACGGUAUUCACUGUCUACCUACCUUGUACUAGUGUACUCUCAAGUCUCAACUCCGUGGCCAACCAAGCUAUAAAACUUUCGGUCAAUGCAUUACAUGUUGACAGUUAAACUAGGAGGCAGUGGCAACUGGUUUCAACAGCAUGUGUUCAUGAUGGUGAGAAAUAGCAGUGAUCAAUAGUGGUGUUGGAGCUUGAUAUGGGUAAUGAAUUAAUAAUGUCUUUGCCUGGUGUCUAACUGAUUGCAGUUUCUGACUUCUGAAUAUGGUGCUUUUGAUGAUAAAUUGUUGUUGUGCAAAUGAUAACCAAUGUCUGGCAAUAUUUGGUUUAUCUAGGGUAAACUUUUUAAGGUUGCUGCUUUGAGAUUCAUAUGUAUAUUUAAUUUGGAGGUGCUAUAACAUUAAGAUGUCAUCGGUCUACUGUGGUUGGAUAUGAUAAUUCUAUUUAUUACUUUUGUGCAGGAAUACAAUGAUACAUUAUUGAU